rnacentral:rRNA from 1 species
UACGUAGGGUGCAAGCGUUGUCCGGAAUUAUUGGGCGUAAAGAGCUCGUAGGCGGUUUGUCGCGUCUGCUGUGAAAACUCGGGGCUUAACCCCGGGCCUGCAGUGGGUACGGGCAGACUAGAGUGCGGUAGGGGAGACUGGAAUUCCUGGUGUAGCGGUGGAAUGCGCAGAUAUCAGGAGGAACACCGGUGGCGAAGGCGGGCCUCUGGGCAGUAACUGACGCUGAGGAGCGAAAGCGUGGGGAGCGAACAGG